rnacentral:rRNA from 1 species
CCUACGGGAGGCUGCAGUAGGGAAUAUUGCUCAAUGGGGGAAACCCUGAAGCAGCAACGCCGCGUGGAGGAUGAAUGUUUUCGGAUUGUAAACUCCUUUUGUUAGAGAAGAUUAUGACGGUAUCUAACGAAUAAGCACCGGCUAACUCCGUGCCAGCAGCCGCGGUAAUACGGAGGGUGCAAGCGUUACUCGGAAUCACUGGGCGUAAAGAGUGCGUAGGCGGGGUAGCAAGUCAGAUGUGAAAUGCUGUGGCUUAACCACAGAACUGCAUUUGAAACUGUUACUCUGGAGUGUGGGAGAGGUAGGUGGAAUUCUUGGUGUAGGGGUAAAAUCCGUAGAGAUCAAGAGGAAUACUCACUGCGAAGGCGACCUGCUGGAACAUUACUGACGCUGAUGCACGAAAGCGUGGGGAGCAAACAGGAUUAGAUACCCGGGUAGUC